UACAGAGGGUGCGAGCGUUAAUCGGAAUUACUGGGCGUAAAGCGUGCGCAGGCGGUCUGUUAAGACCGAUGUGAAAUCCCCCGGGCUUAACCUGGGAACUGCAUUGGUGACUGGCAGGCUUUGAGUGUGGCAGAGGGAGGUAGAAUUCCACGUGUAGCAGUGAAAUGCGUAGAGAUGUGGAGGAAUACCGAUGGCGAAGGCAGCCUCCUGGGCCAACACUGACGCUCAUGCACGAAAGCGUGGGGAGCAAACAGG
rnacentral:rRNA from 1 species